rnacentral:rRNA from 1 species
AUUGAACGCUGGCGGCAGGCCUAACACAUGCAAGUCGAGCGGAUGAAGGGAGCUUGCUCCUGGAUUCAGCGGCGGACGGGUGAGUAAUGCCUAGGAAUCUGCCUGGUAGUGGGGGAUAACGUCCGGAAACGGGCGCUAAUACCGCAUACGUCCUGAGGGAGAAAGUGGGGGAUCUUCGGACCUCACGCUAUCAGAUGAGCCUAGGUCGGAUUAGCUAGUUGGUGGGGUAAAGGCCUACCAAGGCGACGAUCCGUAACAGGUCUGAGAGGAUGAUCAGUCACACUGGAACUGAGACACGGUCCAGACUCCUACGGGAGGCAGCAGUGGGGAAUAUUGGACAAUGGGCGAAAGCCUGAUCCAGCCAUGCCGCGUGUGUGGAGAAGGUCUUCGGAUUGUAAAGCACUUUAAGUUGGGAGGAAGGGCAGUAAGUUAAUACCUUGCUGUUUUGACGUUACCAACAGAAUAAGCACCGGCUAACUUCGUG